rnacentral:lncRNA from 1 species
CUUGAGGGGGGGAAAGACUGAGGGGGAGAACAGGGAGAGAGACCGAAUAAGAGAUUAAGUUGAGGAGGGAGGGAGGGAUGGAGAGGCCCCUUGUGAGAAAGAAAUAUGAGAAAAGGCGAGAAUGAUAAUGCCUAAAUACAGAAAUACGGAGUGUGUGUGUGCAUGUGUGUGUGUCAGAGAAAGAAUAACAGGGUAAUAAGGAUGAAAUGUUUUUCUGCACCUCCGAGUCUCAGUUGGCUGUUCCUCCCUCCUGACGUCUGACAGUUCCCCUAAACUGGAUUCUGGAGGCGACUGGAGGCCCAGCUCACGUACUAAAACUACACGAUCAGCAGCGUCUGAAGACUCCGCUUUCUAUCAAUGCAAUAACUGGACGCGCUGCGUGAAGGUCAGACUGCCUGAGCUCCGUUCAGCUGCACCUGAGACGAAUGAGGAGCUCCGCCCUCGUUUCCUGACUGUGCGACUACACAAACACCGCGACGCCUGA